rnacentral:rRNA from 1 species
UACGUAGGGAGCGAGCGUCGUCCGGAAUUACUGGGUGUAAAGGGAGCGUAGGCGGGGAUGCAAGUUGGGUGUUAAAUCUACCGGCUCAACUGGUAGUCGCACUCAAAACUGCAGCUCUUGAGUGAAGUAGAGGCAGGCGGAAUUCCUAGUGUAGCGGUGAAAUGCGUAGAUAUUAGGAGGAACACCAGUGGCGAAGGCGGCCUGCUGGGCUUUUACUGACGCUGAGGCUCGAAAGUGUGGGGAGCAAACAGG